UCGGCAGGUGCCGCACGGCGGAAGUAACGUUAGUUGAAUUAACGGUUUUUAAAUGCAGCACAGGCGAAUGUAGUACCAGAGUAGAUGUCUGUGUAAUAUAAUUUGUAGAAUGUUUUUAUUUACUACAUAUUCCUUCCCAGAAAUAUCGUUAAGUUGAACCAUUGUGCUUCUAUCGGCCGUAAAAUGUCCCAAUGGUUGGGUCACUUAGUACUUUAUUUUGGAAAUCCAGCCACCGGAAGUAUUAUUUAUUGCUUACACAUCAGCUGUACGUUACAUGCGAGAGGAAUACUGACCUAAUUAACUGUACAGGGGACAACAACAACGACGAAACAUCACAGCGACCGAAGUGAAUGCUAUUUUACUUGUAACUUGUAUUGUGUGAGCAGCUGAGUCUUUGAAGGCCCCAGAGACUGCCAUGUUGGAUCUCUUCCUCAGAGUGCUGGUUUUGACCUGCCUUCACCCAUCACCUCACAGCACUUGGCUGCCAACCUAACUCCUCGCUCCCUCUCUCUUCCCGCAUCUCUUUCUUCCACCACCUGGCUGUGAGAAAGGUCCUUGGUCCUUGUGGAAAAUGUCCUGUGCACACCACAAGCUGCUCACCUGGAGCUUACCUCACCUCCUCCUACCGCUGACCUACCUCUUGGUUUUGACUUCUCCCACAGGUGUGUCAGCAAAUCUCUGCCGGGUGACCGGGGGGGUACUGGGGAUUCACUGGAGCAGCAUCGUCAGCAUGGGUUGGCACUCUCUGGCAAAAGGGAGAGGCGGGGCAACAUGUUGGGAGUCUUGCUGCUUGAUUCCCAGCUGCAACGCCGUGUGGAGCCUCGGCGGGCAAUGUGUGCUUCUCAGCUGCUCGCAGAAUAGGGGCUGCCCCAUCACCACUCUGCCCCAGCCCCACCAGGAGUCCCUCGGCCUCCUUCAGCUGCUCUCAAAGAGUCCUGUCGUCACAGCAAGACAUAGAAGAGCUCGUCAGGUACAGCAUGCAGGAAGCCACACACCACACAUAGGACAGCUUACCAGUACGGAAAGUCCCAAACCGGAAACAGCUCGCCAAAGUACAACAGUACCCAGUACCAUCAAACUUCUUCAAACAGCCCAAAAGAACCUUAGCCAGAGUGCAGACAUUGCUCCUGCUCCAUCACAGCAGAACUCAACGGACACCGUUAAUACUGCCGCGUCUUCCAAUAGCAGUGAUGUCAGCACACCCACAGCCACAGCUGCAACUGCUACCAUCACAACUCCAACACAGGCUGUGAGGGAGCUGGUGGUAUCUGCAGGAGUGAGUGUGGAGGUCACGUUGCCCCGCAACGAGGUCGAGCUCAACGCCUUCGUGGUCCCACCGCCCCCACCAGAGACAACCUAUUUAUUUGACUGGCGUCUGAUAACUCAUCCCAAAGAUUACAGUGGGCAGAUGGAAGGCCAGCACAGCACGACACUUAAACUCAGCAAGCUGACUGUGGGCCUGUAUGAGUUUGAGGUGAUGGUGCUUGGGGAGGGGGCUCAUGGAGAAGGUUACGUCAAUGUCACAGUCAAACCAGAGCCGCGGGUAAACAAGCAUCCUGUUGCCGUAGUUUCCCCAAAGUUCCAAGAGAUCUCCUUGCCAACCAGCUCUACAGUCAUAGACGGCAGCCAGAGCACAGAUGAUGACAAGGUGGUGGCGUGGCACUGGGAAGAGGUUAAAGGUCCCCUGAGGGAGGAGAAGGUCUCUGCCAACACCCCCGUCCUCACCCUCACCAACCUGGUGCCUGGGAACUAUACAUUCAGUUUGACAGUGACAGACUCAGAUGGAGCCACAAACUCAACACAGGCCACCCUCACAGUCAACAAAGCCAAGGACUAUCGGCCUGUGGCCAAUGCCGGCCCUAACCAGGUCAUCCAGUUGCCACGCAACUCCAUCACUCUGUACGGCAACCAAAGCACCGACGACCAUGAUUCCCUGUCCUAUGAGUGGUCCCUCAGCCCUGAGAGCAAAGACAAGGUGGUGGAGAUGCAGGGCGUACGGACGCCGAUCUUGCAGCUGUCUGCUAUGCAAGAGGGAGACUACACCUUCCAGCUGACUGUGACAGACUCAGCUGGCCAACAGGAAACCGCCCAGGUCACUGUCAUUGUGCAGCCAGAAAACAAUAAGCCACCAGUAGCAGAUGCAGGACCGGAGAAAGAACUGACGCUGCCUGUUGAUCGAACCACUCUGGAUGGCAGUAAGAGCAGUGAUGACCAGAAGAUAGCCACCUACCACUGGAAACAAACUAAGGGUCCUGAUGGUGUAAAGAUUGAAAAUGCAGAUGGUGCCGUUGCCACGGUGACAGGUCUUGAGGUUGGCACGUACGAGUUUACGCUGACUGUAACUGAUGAUAGGAAGCUGCAGAGUAGCGACGCUGUCACGGUCAUCGUCAGAGAAGAACUGGACCAGCCUCCUGUGGCUCAUGUUGUGUCGAGUCCACCCAUCACUCUGCCUGUCAGAACCUGCACGCUAGAUGGAUCACACUCCACUGAUGACAAAGGUGGAGUCAGCUACCUGUGGACGAGAGAUGAUAGCAGCCCUGCCGCUGGGGAUGUACUGAACAACUCUGACCACCAGGCGGUGCUGUUUCUGGGAAACCUGGUGGAGGGGAAGUACGGCUUCAUCCUGACUGUAACUGACAGUAAGGGACAGACCAGCACUGACAGAGGCACAGUGGAGGUCAAACCAGACGUAUGGAAGCGUGACCUGGUGGAGUUGGUGCUGGAGGUCUCUGUAUCCCAGGUCUCCCAUCGUCAGCGUGACAUGCUGCUGCGCCAGGUUGGGGUUUUACUGGGCGUGCUCGACAGCGACAUCAUUGUGCGAGAGAUCAGUGCGUUUAAUGAGCACAGUACUCGUUUGGUCUUCCUGGUGUCAGGCGGUCCAGGGCGCCCUCCUCUGUCAGGCCGCAGCGUUGCACUUAGCCUACGCAACAAACUGCGCAAACAGAAAAAUGACUUUCUCAUCUACAAGGCCCGACGAGUGGAUACAGUCAUCUGCCAGCUGAACUGCUCCAGUCAUGGCGAUUGUGACUCCUAUACACGGCGUUGUGUCUGCCACCCUUUCUGGAUGGAGAACUUCAUCAGAGCUCAGCUUGGAGAUGCAGAGAGCAAUUGUGAGUGGAGCGUACUCUAUGUGACUAUAGCGUCAUUUAUGAUUGUGGUUGCUAUAGCAACAGUUGUCUGGGGAAUGGUGUGUUGCUGCAAAAGGCGUAAGAGCAAAGUGCGUAGAAGCAAAAGCAGGUAUAAAAUGCUAGAAGCUGAUGAGCAAGACAGUCUGGAGCUACAACCACCCAGAGCUGCCCGCAUUAAGCCGGUGCCCGCUCCUACCUCCUCAGCCCUCAUGCACUCGGACUCUGACCUGGACAGUGAUGAAGGGCAGGGCGGGGUCCCGUGGACAGAGCAGGAGCGCGGGCAUCUCCUGCGGCCCCAGAAUGGCUCCCUAAGGAACGGGCAGGGGCCGGGAAGGGGCAGAAAGCAAAGAGAAGAGCUGCUAUAGCAAGAGAGGAGGGGGGAGCUCACUGCUGCCCUCACACACACACACACACACACACACACACACACACACACACACACACACACACACACACACACACACACACACACACACACACACACACACACACACACACACACACACACACACACACACACACACACCCCCUCCAGCUGUCACACCCUCUCUGUUCCUCACUUCCUGUUUCUCUUUCGUUGUUCUUCAACACCGAAAACUAAACGAAGGGAAAGAGAGAAAAAACAUGCUGGAAACAUGUUGUCCCACUGUCACAGAAAGAAACACCACUGUACUGACAUUUCCCUGCUCCCACACUGAGCCACUAUGGAGGGAAAACAAGCUACCAUUUCGCUGAGAAAUAGGGGUUUCUCUGGAAGAAGUCGCUGGGACACAGUGGAAUACACAACGUUAAUGAGUUUGGUUGACGGAGACAAUAACGAAGAGAAGUUGACAACACAAAAAAUGGGGCCGCUUCCUCCCUCACCUCAAUAUUCAUUAACUUAAAGUCAGCUUGAACCAUGAAGACCACUUAGGUUUUUAGUGUAUAUAUACACUUUUUUUUUUUUUUUUUAAUACAAACAACCUUCAGGCUGUGAUUACCGGUAGAUGUCGAUGCACUUUGAUUUCAUGUCUGUCAGCUUUGGUUUCAUUUAGUCUCUUGUUGGUUGAAAAGGGAGAUCUUUAAAGGUUAAAGUUGGAAUGGUUCAGCCAUAAAAAAAACGGACUUGACUGCAUUCAAAAUGUAUACAGUUUUUAAUUUCUUUGACUUUAAAAAUGAAAGGAAAGGAUAUAGCAAAUGUGAAUGCAGCUCAUGUCCAGAAGCACCUCAGUAAUUGUAACAUACCUGUAGGCCUGAAAUGAAAAGGAUGGUGUAAGUUAAAUGUGUGGCAAAUUGGGACACUUUUUUAAUCCUUUGAGUUAAUUUUGCAGUUUCUGUGCAGUUUUAGGAAGCAAUUAUAAUCUGUUUGGCCCCUAUUAGGGUGAGCAUAUUUAUCCCAGCUUUCCUUUUGACAAAUAUGCAAUUAGUUCAAUUUAGGGAUUAUUAAAAUUACUCAAGAAACCCAAGGAAAUCUGCAUGACAAAAUUAGACAUUAUAACAGGCAUCACUGAACUUCCGUUAGGGACGAAAGUAAGUUGUGUCAAGAAUGACCUGAAACUGUUAAAAACAAAUGUCUUCCCACAAAUAAGAUAAGAGAAGGAGGUUAAUCUAAAGGGAUGUUUUGCCAUAAAUACAACAGGAACAGGACAAAAAGGAAGGCCGUAAGAACACAGAAGAUCUUUCCAUCUAUUUCUUCUGUGAAUCAGUGGUAGUGAUGGCUGUUUCUGCACGGAGUGAAAACUUUAACCAAAUGACUUUUACCACGCAUGUGAAACUGGCCUUUAAGUUCAUAUUGCAUAUUGAGUCACUCUUUUUUUUCUUUCUGUUGAAUGUUAAAAGGGGUAUGCCAUCGAUUCACUUCAACUUGUUCUCUGUGUGAAAUAAGCAAUCAUUUAAAAAAAAUUGCAAAAGAAAUGUCUAUUUUGUACAGCUCAUGCUAAUGUGACUUCUGCUGCACUAGUUUGGUCUUAAAGCACCUGGUGCACAUCAGGCCAGGGCGGAGAUAUUUAAAAAAUGGAUUUCAUUCAGAUUUGCUGAAUUUAUCUAUUCUUCUUUUGCCAUCUUGUGUGAGGUGAACUAAAAUCAAAGUGCACCUAAGUGCCAACUCUGUGAAAUGUCAUUUGAAAAUAAUGACAUAUUCUUACCAUGUUUUUUUGCACAUCAUAGGUAAUGGCUUUCGGAGUAAUUGCCAAGAUUUUACAUUGAUUCACUCUCAUUUCAAGGAUAAUUCUACACCUAUUUGACAAUACAAAAUUCAGCUUUCUUGUUACACGUAAUACAUUUUCCAGUCACUUGAGAUUUAUAGAAGAAAGGAAAUUGACCUCGACUCUGACAGAGUCCACUGUGAAGGCUAACGGAGAAACUUUUAAAUGAAGGGAGUUUAAUUUAAGAUGUUUAAGAUAACAUUUUAGUAAAGGAUUACCCACUUCUUUCCUUCUGUGUGACCUGACCUGAUGGAUUGUCUGUAAAUUAAAAUAAAUGUUUCAGUUUGUUCCUGAGUUUUCA